AACAGUGAAAGGUUGUAAAAAAGUAUCCAAGGAUAUUUAUCCCCAGGCUGUCAAUAUCAGUAUCAACAGUAAUAAGAUAGAAUAAAGAGAUAAAACGUUUGAAAUACAACCAUCAGCUUUAUCUUUGUUUAAAAAAAAAAAAAAAAACCUACAACUGACUGGUCCUGAGCUAGCUCAAUUGAGCAGGGAGCUGAAUCGCACAAGCGCCUGCAGGUUUUACCUCCACACCAGGCAGCUGAGCUCUGGGGAAAAGGAGUUAAGAUGAAUCAGAUGCCCUAGACUUCCCUAAACUUUCACUUUUUAAACACUACUAGAGUGAGUUCUCACCCAAGCUAUCCUUUAGGAAAUCCAGUGUGAUGUUGUGCCUAAAGCCAUACAACACUGAAUUAUCUUCAAAGUACUCCUUAAAUUUUAUCCUCAAAGAUGAACCGAUUUUCUUGUGACAUAUAUAUGCAACUUCAAUUAAUUUUGUUAUUCAGGUGGAAUACUUGUGUUUUCACCUGUUAAUGGAGGCUAAGGAGGGCUUUCUUUCCUCCCAAAAGAUGCCCAGCUUUGCGCUUUUGGGGGGUUUUUAAAGUCUUGGUCAUGGCCUCUCACUAAUUCUAAUUAUUACGCAAUAUACAUCUCUCUAGCAUUUCAUUUUAUGAUGGGAAGAGCAGAGGAGGCUGCAUAAAACUUAAUGUAAGUUUUGCAGCUAUAAGCAAUGAAUUUGUUAUUGUGAAAAUGCUUUGCCUUUGCAAAGUAAGUUAACAAGAAAUUGGUUGUUUCUUCAUGAACGCUAUACCAGUUCUGUAUGUCUUAGAAAAUUCAGGACUAGCCAAAGAAAAAAGUCUGUGGGUAAAUGUAACUCCCUUGAUGUGUGUAACCAAGAGACCUAAGUCAUAUGGACUUACACAAAAUUGUUUAUUGAGUUCAUACCAACAUUCAGACACUGAAGGAGGGAGUUCAUUUGUUUUUCGCAGCAACCCUAAAAGGUAGGAACUAUUUUCCCAAUUUUAGAACUGAGAAGGAGAAAAACAAAAAUCAUUAAGUAAUCUGACUAAGGUCACCCAGCUAAGAAGUGGCAAAUCAAGGUGUCAAACAUCAGGAGAGCAGCCAAGAUGGCGGAGCAUCAAGACUUUUUCCCACGGGCGCCAACAUGACAGCUAUUUACAGAGUAACUACUGACGAGAAAACUAGCAGGAAAGAGCUUCUACCACUAAAGACAUAAAAAAGGAACUACAACGAGAUGGGUAGGAUGGGAAUGAUGUGAUUUAGUCAAGACCUACACCCCCAAGUAGACAACCCACAAACAGGAUGAUCAUACAAGUGCAAGAUUCUCUCCAAGGAACAAGGGUUUGGAGCCCCACAUCAGGCUCCCCAACUCAGGGUCCUUGCACCACAAAGAGAAGCCCCCAGAACAUCUGGCUUUGAAAUCCAGCAGGUCUUGCUUUGAGGAGAGUCAGAGGGCUUAUGGGAAAUAAGCACUGCAGCCAGAGACCCAGGACCUGGUUCCACAUAUCAGUUGGCCAGGACUAGUCCCAGGACCCAGUCUUACCCAUGAGUGAGCUGACAUUAGUUCUGGCACACCCCGGACCCCAGCAGUCAGCCACAUCAGGAACUAGCCCUGCCCACGAGAGGACUGAUACUAGCCCUGAGACUCAGGGAGCCUGCAGCCACCGACAUCAAGAAAUGGCCCACCCACCAGCAGAUUGACAUCAGCUAGCUCUGAAACCCUGGGGCCCCACAGCCAGGUGACCCCAUGACCUGACCUCACCUCCUGGUGGCCAGAAGCCUUCAUACUAGAUAGGGCCUGGCAACCAACUGGGCCAGGGGCCAGCCACACCCACCAGCUUUCCCACAGCAGUUGGUCCCAACACAAGAGAAGGGCCACACAGCCCAUCUAAUGGGCACCCCUAGAGCAUAUAGUUCUGGUGACCAGAGGAGAGUGUACUGCUGGGCCUGACAGAACUUCUCCCACAGGGGCCAUUUCUUCAAGAUCAGGAAACAUUACCAACCUAAUACACAGGAAUAAAAACAGAGAUUUAGGCAAAAUGAGGAGACAGAGGAAUGUGUUCCAAAUGAGGAACAAGAUAAAACUCCAGGAGAACUAAAUAAGGAGGAAAUAAGCAAUCUAUCCCAAAAAUGAGUUCAGGGCAGUAAUCAUAAAGAUGCUCAAAUAACUUGGGAGAAGUACAGAUGAACACAGUGAGAACUUCAACAAAGAGGUAGAACAUAAAAAGAAGAACCAGAGUUGAAGAAUAUAAGAACUGAAAUGAAAAAGUACAGUAGAAGCAAUUAACAGUAGAUUAUGAGACAGAGGAAUAGAUUUGCAAACUAAAAGACAGAGGAAUGGAAACAACCCAAAUGUCCAUCGACAGAUGAUUGGAUUCGGAAGAUGUGGUAUAUAUACACAAUGGAAUACUACUCAGCCAUAAAAAAGAAUGACAUAAUGCCAUUUGCAGCAACAUGGAUGGAACUAGAGAAUCUCAUACUGAGUGAAAUGAGCCAGAAAGACAAAGACAAAUACCAUAUGAUAUCACUUAUAACUGGAAUCUAAUAUCCAGCACAAAUGAACAUCUCCUCAGAAAAGAAAAUCAUGGACUUGGAGAAGAGACUUGUGGCUGCCUGAUGGGAGGGGGAGGGAGUGGGAGGGAUCGGGAGCUUGGGCUUAUCAGACACAACUUAGAAUAGAUUUACAAGGAGAUCCUGCUGAAUAGCAUUGAGAACUUUGUCUAGAUACUCAUGUUGCAACAGAACAAAGGGUGGGGGAAAAAUGUAAUUGUAAUGUAUACAUGUAAGGAUAACCUGACCCCCUUGCUGUACAGUGGGAAAAUAAAAAAAUUAUAAAAAAAAUAAAAAAAAUAAAAAAUAAAUAAAUAAAUGCUGCUAUAAAUGAUAGGAAAAAAAAAAAGACAGAGGAGUGGAAAUCACUUGAGAUGAACCAAGAAAAAGAAAAAAGAGUUUUUAAAAAUGAGGACAGUUUAAGAAACAUAUGGGAUGGUGCCAAGUACACCAACACUGGCAUUACAGAAGCCCCAAAUGGAGAAGUGAGAAAUAAAGGGAUAAGAACAUAUGGGAUGGAAAUCCUGUGAAAUUGUAUUGUUAUGAUCAUUCUAUAACUACAGAUGUGAUAAAUUCGAGGAAUAAAAAAACAAACAAUCAAAAAAGAACAUAUUUGAACACAUAACAGCUAAAAAGUUCCCUAACCUAGGAAAGGAAAGGAAACAGACAUCCAGGUCGAGGAAUCACAGAGAGUCCCAAAUAGAAUCAACACUAAGAGGUCUACACCAACACAUGUUGUAAUUAAAAUGGCAAAAGUUAAAGAUUUAACACCCAUCCUUCUCAAACUGCUCCAAAAAAUUGCAGAGGAAGGAAUACUUCCAAACUCAUACUAUGAGGCCAGCCAUCACCCUGACAUAAAAAUCAGAAAAAGAUAUCACAGGAAAAGAAAACUACAGGCCAAUAUCACUAAAAACAUGGUUCAAUAUCCUCAAAUCAAUCAACGUGAUACACCACAUUAACAAACUGAAGAAUAAAAACCAUACGAUUAUCUCAAUAGAUGCAGGAAAAGAUUUUGACAAAUUUCAACAUCUAUUUAUGAUUUUAAAUAUUCUCUAGGAGUUUCUGUCAUGGCUCAGUGGUUAACAAAUCUGACUAGGAACCAUGAGGUUGCGGGUUCGAUCCCUGGCCUCUUUCAGUGGGUGAAGGAUCCAGUGUUGCCAUGAGCUGUGGUGUAGGUCACAGACACGGCUCAGAUCCCGAGUUGCUAUGGCUGGGGCGUAGGCCAGCAGCCACAGCUCCAGUUUGACCCCUAGCUAGGGAACCUCCAUAUGCCACAGGGGUGGCCCUAAAAAGACAAGAAAAAAAAAAUUCUCCAGAAAGCAGUCAUAGAGGGAACAUACUUCAACAUAAUAAAGGCCGUAUAUGAUAAGCCCACAGCUAAUAUCACACUCAAAGGUAAAAAGCUGAAACCAUUUCCCCAAGAACAGGAAUGAGACAAGGAUGUCCACUCUUGCCGACUUUAUUCAUUAUUGAAAGCCUUAGCCACAGUGCUAGGACAAGAAAAUUUUAAAAAGGAACCUAAAUUGGAAAGGAAGAAGUAAAACUGUCACUGUCAUCAGAUGAGAUGAAACUACAUAUAGAAAAUCCUAAAGAUAUCAUCAAAAAACCGUGAGAACUAUUAAAUGAAUUCAGUACAACUGCAGGAUACAAAAUUAAUAUACAGAAAUUGUUGCAUUUCUAUAUACUAACAACAAACUAUCAGAAAAGGAAAUUAAAAAAACAAUCUGAUGUGUAAUCACAUCAAAAAGAAAAAAAAAUCUAGGAAUAAAUCUAACUAAGGAGGUAAAAGACCUGUACUCAGAAAACUAUUAGGUGCUGAUGAAAGAAAUUGAAGAUGACACAAACAUAUGGAAAGAUAUACUGUGUUCAUGAAUUGAAGAAAUUAAUAUUGUUAGAACGACCACACUACCAAAGGCAGUCUACAAAUUCAAUGCAAUCUCUAUCAAAACACCAAUAGCAUUUUUCACAGAAAAAGAACAAAUAAUUCUAAAAUGUGUAUGGAAUACAACAGACUUCAAAGAGUUGAAACAAUCUUGAGAAUAAAGGACAAAGGUGGAGACAUCACACACCCUGAUCUCAAACUAUAUAACAAAGCAACAAUUAUCAAACAGUGUGGCACUGGCACCAAAACAGAUAUAUCGAACAAUGGAAUAGAAUACAACCCAGAAAUGAAUCAAUUAUAAGGUCAAUUAAUCUACAAAAAGAAUGCAAGAAUAUACAAUGGGGAAGACACUCUCUUCAAUAAAUUG
rnacentral:lncRNA from 1 species